rnacentral:rRNA from 1 species
AGAGUUUGAUCCUGGCUCAGAGCGAACGUUUGCGGCGGGCCUUACACAUGCAAGUCGAACGAGAAGCCCUCUUCGGAGGGUGGACAGUGGCGCACGGGUGCGUAACACGUGGGUAACCAACCCUAUAGUCUGGGAUAACGGAGGGAAACCUCCGCUAAUACCGGAUACGACUUCGGAGACUUCGGUCUCCGUCGGGAAAGACCCGCAAGGGUCGCUAUUGGACGGGCUCGCGGCCCAUCAGCUUGUUGGUGAGGUAAAAGCUCACCAAGGCGAAGACGGGUAGCUGGUCUGAGAGGAUGAUCAGCCACACUGGAACUGAGACACGGUCCAGACUCCUACGGGAGGCAGCAGUGGGGAAUAUUGCGCAAUGGGCGAAAGCCUGACGCAGCCACGCCGCGUGUGCGAUGAAGGCCCUAGGGUCGUAAAGCACUGUGGAGGGAGAAGAAUAAACCUGGUGAAGAGCCAGGCCUGACGGUAUCCCUUUAGCAAGCACCGGCUAACUCCGUGCCAGCAGCCGCGGUAAUACGGAGGGUGCUAACGUUGCUCGGAAUCAUUGGGCGUAAAGCGCACGUAGGCGGCCAUGCAAGCUGGAUGUGAAAGCCCAGGGCUCAACCCUGGAAGUGCAUCCAGAACUGCAUGGCUUGAGUACCAGAGGGGGUCGGAGAAUUCCCGGUGUAGAGGUGAAAUUCGUAGAUAUCGGGAGGAAUACCAGAGGCGAAGGCGCCGACCUGGAUGGAUACUGACGCUGAGGUGCGAAAGCGUGGGGAGCGAACGGGAUUAGAUACCCCG